rnacentral:lncRNA from 1 species
AUGGCACACCCCGCUUUACUCCAGCACUUCAUCCUUCCCCAUCGCACCGUCUUUCCCCUGUUCAUCUCCACCCGUACCCCAGGUCCCUUCCCCGCCCCACCAUGUCCCGCCGCAGGUGCCCGGGUCCCUCAGGACGCUGUGGCGGUGCCCGUGUCCCUCGGGAUGCGAUCCCGCGUCCCUCGGGACGCCGGCGCCCGGGUCCCUCAGGCGGCCGCGGCCCCGCCCGCAGCCCCGGCGCAGGCGCAGCUCGGGCCGGGCGCUGCCGUAAAGCGGCGCGGCGGCGGUUCCGGGAGCGGCGGUAACAAAAACCAAACAAACCAAAAAGAUCACACAAGGACAGAGUUCACUGAAAUGUGAGAAUGGCCAAUUCUUUAAGAGGUGAAGUGAUAAAACUGUACAAAAAUCUGCUGUACCUUGGAAGGGAGUAUCCCAAAGGAGCAGACUACUUCAGAAGCCGUUUGAAAGCAGCUUUUCUAAAAAACAAAGAUGAGACAGACCCUGCAAAAAUUAAGCAGCUGAUUGCCCGGGGAGAGUUUGUUAUAAAGGAGCUGGAGGCUUUGUACUUCCUGAGGAAAUACCGAGCCAUGAAGAAGCGCUACUACAGUGACGACAAGCCCUGACUGUGCUGCCUGUAACCACACACAUCCAGGAAAGGUAACAAUAAAAGAGCUCUAACUGCAAAGAAGUGACA